rnacentral:rRNA from 1 species
UAUCUCUGUAGAGUCUGCAUAUCAAUAAGCGGAGGAAAAGAAACUAACUAGGAUUCCCUUAGUAACGGCGAGUGAAGCGGGAAGAGCUCAAAUUUGAAAUCUUCAAGGUUUUACCUUGACGAAUUGUAGUUUAAAGGAGUGUUUUCUGUUGGUGUUUUGGUAAAAGUUCUUUGGAAUAGGACAUCAUAGAGGGUGAGAAUCCCGUAUUUGACCAUUAUUUCCAGCGUUGUGAUACACUUUCAAAGAGUCGGAUUGUUUGGGAAUGCAGUCCAAAAUGGGUGGUAAAUUUCAUCUAAAGCUAAAUAUUGGCGAGAGACCGAUAGCGAACAAGUACCGUGAGGGAAAGAUGAAAAGAACUUUGAAAAGAGAGUUAAACAGUACGUGAAAUUGUCAAAAGGGAGGCGUUUGACACCAGUGUUGUUUCUACGAAAAUCAAUUUAUGAUGGCUUGAUGCUAAGCUUUAAGACUUUAUCCGCUUGUUGUUUAGUUUUCUUGUCUUUGUGAAUGCACUUUUCGUGGAACAAGUCAACAUCAAUUUCUUUUGCUGUAAAAGGGUAAGAGGAAGGUGGCUUCGGCUUCGGUUGAAGUGUUUAUAGCCUUUUAUCUCUGCAGUCGGAGAGAUUGAGGUCUGCAGCGUAGACUCUUCGGGGUUAGAUACGUCGGUGCUAAGCUAUAGCUUUUCAUAGACAACUUGUUGACUAUGUUUAGUCAUGUGGCUUACCCGCUGGCGCUAUUUUACCUACGCUUAGGAUGUUGAGUCAUCACACAUCUCU